UAGAAUUAUUUUCAACUAAAUUGAAAUCUGGACUCUUUUUUCUUUACUCUAACGAGUUUAAGGUUAGAACUCCCUUUUAACGAGCUCAUGUUUUCAGCAACAAUGGGUCGAGGAAAGAAUCGAGGUAAAGUAAAAAGUUCAACUUUUAAAUCAAAUUUUACUAUUAAUAGGCCCGUGACUUGAUCCUGGGCAAGAGAUCAUAAUAACAUAGUAUCAGAGCUAUCCACAAUGACUCUCAGUUGCAAUCAUGCAGCGCAGGUGGUGACGCUGAAAUAGCGGUGUUUGCUCAGGGCUAGACUAAGCUAACACAAAGCCAGCCUGCAUGGGCACCAGGGCUACGGAGCGUGGUGGAAUGUUAUGUUCCCAUUGCAAGAAAACUUGUGUCCCACAUUAAAAAUAUGGGAUUUCAAUAUAGGGUAUAUAUAGAUUUGGACUUUUCAACCUAUAUUACCAUGACCAGCAUUAGGAGAAGAAGAGCCCGCGCUAUCUGUCAAUAUUCUUGCAGGGUGAAUCUUUCUAAAGUCUCCAUCAACAAUUUGGUUUGAGCUAGAUUGAAGAUUGCCAUCAAUUGUGCCCGAAUCUGCAGCCAUGUGAAGGUUUGGCUCAAAUUGUUGAUGAUCAGAGUUGCUAGUCCUCCUUGGAUGAAUGUUUUUGCUGUGCAGAGAAUCAAAUUUCUCUUUCCUUCCCUCUUCUGAAGUCAGUUGUUCAGCCUCAGCUCCAAGAGAAAGUGAUAUUGAUCCAGCAGCAAUUAAGCCUAUGACUAGCAACUUCAUCAUCAAACUUGCCAUAAUUAGUUCUGGAUGUGUUAGCGCUUUAACUGUGUUCCUGCUUUCCAAGCAACUUGACCCAGCAAACUAACUCUAGUAAUUAUUGUUGGAGAUAUUAAUGAAAAAUGGAACAGCUGCAGGAUUAAUUCACAAGGGUCUGUUACUCAAGAUAUUUACCAUUGAUGGUGAUAUCUCCCAAGAUUCAAUAGGUUCUUCCACUAUCAAAACGGGAACACUAAGAAGAAAUUUAUAAACCAGCAAAGAAAGAAGAAAAGGAUCUCAGUUUUUGUGUGCUACUGUGU
rnacentral:misc_RNA from 1 species